rnacentral:rRNA from 1 species
AUUGAACGCUGGCGGCAGGCCUAACACAUGCAAGUCGAACGAGUGGCGGACGGGUGAGUAAUGUCUGGGAAACUGCCUGAUGGAGGGGGAUAACUACUGGAACCGGUAGCUAAUACCGCAUACCAUCAGAUGUGCCCAGACGGGAUUAGCUUGUUGGUGGGGUAACGGCUCACCAAGGCGACGAUCCCUAGCUGGUCUGAGAGGAUGACCAGCCACACUGGAACUGGGAGACGGUCCAGACUCCGACGUGAGGCAGCAGGGGGGAAUAUUGCACAAUGGGCGAAAGCCUGAUGCAGCCAUGCAACGUGGAUGAGGAAGGCGUUCGGGUUGUAAAGUACGUUCAGCGAGGAGGCGUUACCCGCAGAAGAAGCACCGGCUAACUCCGUGCCAGCCGCCGCGGUAAUAC